GCGAACAUAGUAUAGUGGUAAUGCUACAGACUCUAAGUAUGUAAACGUAGGUUCGAUUCCUACUGUUCGUA
rfam:Lactococcus phage 949, complete genome.